GAUUGCCCCAGUAACGGCGAGUGAAGCGGCAACAGCUCAAAUUUGAAAUCUGGCCCCCCGGCCCGAGUUGUAAUUUGCAGAGGAUGCUUUUGGUGAGGCACCUACCGAGUCCCCUGGAAUGGGGCGCCAUAGAGGGUGAGAGCCCCGUAUGGUAGGACGCCGAACCUCUGUAAAGCUCCUUCGACGAGUCGAGUAGUUUGGGAAUGCUGCUCUAAAUGGGAGGUAAAUUUCUUCUAAAGCUAAAUACCGGCCAGAGACCGAUAGCGCACAAGUAGAGUGAUCGAAAGAUGAAAAGCACUUUGAAAAGAGGGUUAAAAAGUACGUGAAAUUGUUGAAAGGGAAGCGCUUGUGACCAGACUUGCGCCGGGCGGAUCAUCCAGCGUUCUCGCUGGUGCACUCCGCCCGGUUCAGGCCAGCAUCGGUUUUCGCCGGGGGACAAAGGCUUCGGGAACGUGGCUCCUUUCGGGGAGUGUUAUAGCCCGUUGCGUAAUACCCCGGCGGGGACCGACGACCGCGCUUCGGCAAGGAUGCUGGCGUAAUGGUCAUCAGCGACCCGUCUUGAAACACGGACCGAGGAGUCAAGCAUUAGUGCGAGUGUUUGGGUGUAAAACCCGCACGCGUAAUGAAAGUGAACGUAGGUGAGAGCUUCGGCGCAUCAUCGACCGAUCCUGAUGUUUUCGGAAGGAUUUGAGUAGGAGCAUUAACGCUUGGACCCGAAAGAUGGUGAACUAUACUUGAAUAGGGUGAAGCCAGAGGAAACUCUGGUGGAGGCUCGCAGCGGUUCUGACGUGCAAAUCGAUCGUCAAAUUUGAGUAUAGGGGCGAAAG
rnacentral:rRNA from 1 species